rnacentral:rRNA from 1 species
UACGUAGGGUGCGAGCGUUGUCCGGAAUUACUGGGCGUAAAGAGCUUGUAGGUGGUUUGUCGCGUUGUUCGUGAAAUCUCACGGCUUAACUGUGAGCGUGCGGGCGAUACGGGCAGACUAGAGUACUGCAGGGGAGACUGGAAUUCCUGGUGUAGCGGUGGAAUGCGCAGAUAUCAGGAGGAACACCGGUGGCGAAGGCGGGUCUCUGGGCAGUAACUGACGCUGAGAAGCGAAAGCGUGGGGAGCGGACAGG